UACGUAGGGUGCGAGCGUUGUCCGGAAUUAUUGGGCGUAAAGGGCGUCGUAGGCGGUUUGUCGCGUCGGGAGUGAAAUCCCGACUGGCUUAACUGGUGGGCUUGCUUUCGAUACGGGCAGACUGGAGGUAUGCAGGGGAGAACGGAAUUCCUGGUGUAGCGGUGAAAGUGGCGCCAGAGUAUCAGGAGGAACACCGGUGGCGAAGGCGGUUCUCUGGGCGAUGUCCUGACGCUGGAGGAGCGAA
rnacentral:rRNA from 1 species